GUGUUUUCAUAUUAAUCCUGUAUUGAUUUCAAGUACAGUCAGUUGUACAUUAAGAGUAUAAGCUUGAGGCGUAUCCGAAGUGAAAAAAACUAUGUGAAUUAAGUAUUUUAUCCUUCAUUGAACUUUUGAUGUCCCUAAAAUAACACAUCUUCGCUACCCAAGGAUUGCCAUCCACUCUCCUCCUCUUUACCAUGGCAGAUUAAGCCAGUUUUUG
rnacentral:lncRNA from 1 species